UUCUAUGUGAUGAUGCUGAAUCGUUGAUGAAGGAAUUGCUGGGUUUGAAGCAUUUAAAUUUUUUAAGCUGGUCCUUCCGAAGUUCACUUGCUGUCCAAAAGUUUUUGAAAUAUCCAAAGCUGGUGAGCAUCACUCAAUCUGUACGGGUUGAAUGUGGUGGCAAGUUUACUACAAGGCCACCGUUCAAUGUCUUACAUAUGGCAUACAUGGAGAAUCUUCAGGAGUUACGUCUUACAACCAGUAGUUUGGAAGAGAUGAAGAUUGACAGCACAGAAGAGGUGAAGAAACUUUUUCAAAGUGGUUUCCGCAGUCUCAACACAGUUCAUGUAUUUUGUUGCCAUAAAGCGAAGGACUUAACGUGGCUUGUUUUUGUUAAAAACCUCAAGGAGCUGCGUAUAGAGUUUUGUUAUGAUGUGGAAGAAAUAAUCGGGGUUGAUAAAUUGAGAGAUAUUUCAGAGAUAAUCGGGUCAGAGCAUAACUUUUUCGCACAACUCGAAUCUCUAACCAUAACGUCGGGAAGAAAUUUAAAGAGCGUUUACCCGAAUCCCCUGCUCUUUCCAAAGCUGAAGAAAAUUGAAGUACGUGUAUGCCCACAGCUGAAGAAGCUCCCACUCAAUUCCAGCAGCGCGAAGGAACGUCGAGUUGUCAUCCGGGGAGAGAAAGAAUGGUGGGAAGAGCUACAAUGGGAGGAUCAAGACACCCAAAAUGCUUUUUCUUCCGGUGCCGUACUUACUGAGGUUCCUUUUUAUUAAUAUGUUUGAAUAUGUAUUUCUUUUUUUUCUUUUUUAAUUUUCAUUAGAUUUAAUUGCAUCUUGUUCUUGUUGUCUGGUGUGUCAAUCGUUCCCUAUUUUCAGUUAAUAAAAUUUCAGCAGUGGAUUCUUGGUUUAUUAAUGUUUAUAUAACUGAAUUGUUCAGCAGAUGUACUCUGCAUAUGUACUCUGACUCUGCUUCUGGCUUCUAAGGAGAAAGAGGUGAAAAUAAACAUUUUAUCUUCCCUUAGCUGCUCUCCUUUGGUUUGAAAUAUGUGACCUUUAUAUAUACUCGUCAACAAAAUUGUAUUUGUCGCUUUAAGUCUUGUUUGUUUUAAAUCCUGGCAUAUGUAAUUAUGUAUGGAGUGGGAACUGAGAUGAUGAUGAAAGAUAAGAAAACAGUAAUUGAAUCUGUUAUAAUUUUAAUAUUAAUUUAACAAGAAAGUGAUAUUAAUUUGCCUGGCCCAUAUGAAAAACAAUUAUAAUUAACGCUUUUUCUUUUUCUUUAAUUAGUAAUAGAUUUCGGAUAGAAAGCAGACAAAUUUAAUUUCUGCUUCAAUAACUACCCUAUCACUGUGUGCGUGAUCACAUAAUUUUGGACUACCGCUUGUGGAAUAACUUUAGAAAAAGAAAAUUAAUAUUUUUAAGUAACGAUAAAUAUUUUAAAUUUUAUUUUAACUAAAUUUGAAAUGAUGUGAUUGGCAGGUAAGACUUAAGAAUUAGACAAAUUUUCUCAUUCCACAGCUUGUAGAAAAUUUAUACUCUAGGCCUUAUCUAAACUUGGACUUAUCGCCUGCGGUAAAGCAUGAGUCAUGUUUCCAUGUAUGUUUGAAAUAAAUAUUUUAAAUUUUUAUUUUAAAUUGUUUUCUUCUCUUAUCAAUUAUUUGUUUCUCCUAUCUUCCAAUGAAAGUGCAGGACCUCAAUUAUUUUAAUAGAGAUGUAGUAAUAAAUUAUUAAUGAAACAUGUCAAAUCCAAUGUAUAGAUAAUAAUAAAAUGAGGCUAAUGCUAAGUUACAUGCAUGUAACUUAAGGGAUCCAUAAAAUAAAUAUACAUUGUUUCAAAAAAGUUAGCACAUGCUUGUUACAAAUAUAAAACAUUAUCUUAAAAGUCUCUGAACUUUUGUGUUCUCUUUAACAUUUUUCUCUUAUGUUGUUUUUGUACUAUAUGGAUACAAGAGUGCGUUUGGGAUGCUGUAUUAUAUUAUGUUAUAUUGCAUUAUUUUAAUGCAGGUGUAUUGCAUUAUGUUGUGUUGUAUUAGUAAUGUAUUAUAAUAAUGUUGUACAAUGUUUGGUAUUACACUGUACUGUAUUAAUUUUUAAAUAUAUUAUAUUUGAUAUAGCACUAUAUUGUAUUAAUUUUUUGUGACUAAUUUAAAUUAUAUAUUUAGAAAAUACUAAUGAAUUGUGCUAAACAAUCUAAUAAUUAUAUAUUUUAUUAAUUUUUAAUUAAUAUUAUUCAAAUUUAUUCAUAUUUAAAUAUUUAUUAUUAGUUAUAUUAAAUUAUUUAAAAAUAACUAGUUUAAUUAUUUUAAUAAAUUAUAUUAUAUUAUAUUAUAUUAUAUUAUAUUAUUUAAGUAUUUAUUAUUAGUUAUAUUAACUUAUUAAAAAUUAAUCAAUUAUAUAUAUUAAUUAAUAUAAUUUUACAUAUUAAUUAAUAUAAUAUAAUUAAAUAAUACAUUUUUUAGUUAUACAUUUACUAUGAUAAAAAUUAAAAUAUAAACAUAAUAUUAUUAAACAAUAAAUUUAUUAAUUUAUAUUAAAAUUAUAAUGUAAAAAUAAUAUUAUAUAAUAUAAUAUUAAAUUAAAAAUUAUAUUCAUUUAUCAUUAUUACAAAGUAUAAAAAAAAAAAAAAAAAAAAAAAGAGGAAGCUAAAGCUAAAGCGUUAACUGGACACAUUAGCUAAACCCGACAAUAUGUUGGGUUUAGCUAAUAUAGCCAUUUGGUACCCCAAACAUGGGGCUGCAUUGCUAAUGUAAUGCAAUCCCAGGUAAAGAGGGGUACCAAACAACCCCCAAGUUCACUUAAUGUAACAUAACAUAUUUAUAUAUAUAUACACUACGUGGAGGUGAGCUCCUUAAGGUGAGAUUUAGCAAAAUUAUAAAUUAUUACAGCAUGAAAUUUAUUCUUAUUUAUAAUUGGCCUAAUAUAAAUUAGGACCAUUACUUUUAUAGCUAUAUGAAAUUAUUCUUAUAUAAAAUAUCACUACAUAAAUGUUUUAUUGCAAUAUUGAUCUCUUUUUUUCUUUAUUGUAUUUAUCUCUUCAUAAUCUUUUCCUUUUUAUUAAAAAAAAAUCAACUAAAAGAUUCAUCAACAUCUUAGUCCAACAAUCUACCAGCGAAAACGAGUGUCCAUGCUUUUGAACCAAGGCCCAAUAUGUGAGGGAGAGAUUGUUGGGUUGUCUUAUAUCGGUUGUGAAUAGGAAUGGCAAAAUCCGGGUCCAGGUCCGGGUUUAGCCUUCCCGGUUCCGGACCCGGACACUAUUUUUUUGUUCCUCGACCCGGAUUAAAACUCGGUUUUUUCUCAUGCGGGUCCGGGCCGGGUUCAACCCGGAAAAAUCCGGGUUUUGAACCCGGAUCAAUAACUCAAAACUAACUCCAGAAAACUCCAGAAAGCAAUUCAAAUGGUGAAUAUUAUGGCAUAGGUACAGAAUCAUCCAUUUUUCUCUCUUCGGUGGGUUAGCUACUAAGCUUCAAAUUUGAGGAAAAAGGAAAAGAAAAGUCAGUUAAGUGGUCAAUCCACAACCACCAUCUCCAAUCCCAUGGCAUUUCUCAAGGCUUUAUCAGAUCAUUUCAUUUGACAGCAUCAUUGAAAAGAAAAAAAAAUAUGAUGAUAUGAGUCUUGAAAUUAAUUAAGUAUUAAAUAUGCAACUAAAGCGAGAUAUUAUUGAAAUAAUCAAGUAUUAUAUAUGGUAAGUAAAGUGAGCAAAGUAUGAUGACUGUAAAUAAUUUAAUUAUAAAACCGCAAAUACGCAAGUGUGUGGUGAAUCAAACGAAUAGAGGAGCUGAUGAAGAUGAAUAGAGGAACUGCAGUGCUGCAAGCAUGUGACGGUGGUGAACCAAACAAGUUGCGAGUUGCGACGGUGGGGAACCCAAGCUUUUGACAGUGGCGAACGCCGCGAACCCAACCUUGUGACGGUGAUGAACCCAGGCGAUGGUUGUUUGACUUGCCUGCUGGACAGCGGGAGGCGGCAGCCGCGACACAGUUAGGGUUUUUCACUUUUUCUUAUGUAAUCGCGAUUUGUGAUAGAAAAUAGAAAGAAUGAAAGAAAAAAAUGAAUUGCGAUUUUUUAAGAUUUUUUUUUAUGUUUCUAUUUAUAUUAACUAAUAAAAAUAAUAUAAAAAAAAUGAAUACGGAUCCGGGUUCCGGAUUCACGGGUUACCCCAAACCCAGAUUAAUCCGGGUUAUUAAAAUUCAUUCCGGAUCCGGAUUUUUUUCCACUCCGGUACGGGUUCAACCCUCCCCGGAUUAUCCGGGUUAGUCCGGAUUAUUUUGCCAUCCCUAGUUGUGAACUAGGAUGGUGGUGAUUUUACAAGUGUGAGGGAAAGCCUCACCCCUUAUCCAUCUUUUGGGAUUGAAUGAGACCCAAAACCGCCUAAUAUGAAUUCUAUCACUGGGAUUUUUACCCAGUAUAACAAACAUAACAACACAAUGAAUUAUCAAUUUAUCACCUAAUGGCUCUAACUUUAGCGAUGAUCACCUUACAUGAACAUGAAAAUUAAUCCCAUUGAUUAACUCAACAAUGACGAUAAUCACUUAAACUCUUAUGCACCAAAGGAUAUACUCGCUACAGGGGUCUUAACUCAUAAAGAUGCUCCCACAUCUUCCAUUAAGUUUCCAUCGAACAACUAUUCAUAUCAUUUGAUGAAAAAUUAAUUUUAGUGGGGGCCAAAAGAGCACGAGUGAUCCAAACCACUAAACAACAUCAUAACCAACACAAAAUUUAUACUAAACCAUUACCAAAACAGCAAAGCUAGACAUAAAUUUGAACAGAUACACAAGCUACAUUCAUUACCAUAAUGUAUCGACUAAAUUUCCAAGCUCUACAUUUUGAACAAAGAAUUUAUAAUAUUACAUAAUCUAAUAAAUUAAUAUAGAAAUAAAAUUGGCAUCAGAUCAAAUUACUAUUAAUCUACCUUGCAUAAACCAUUCUCUUGUAUCGGCAUUCACGUCCGCGCUCGAUUGGCUCUCCUGUGCUGCUUGUCUAACUGAUUCAAAUCCACAUAGAUAAAAUUAAGCACAUUAAGUUUUCAAACUCAAAUCAAACAGCUUUAAAAGUUACAUCACAAACAAUGAAUUUCAUUUUCGAAAUACAAAGAAUCCGUUCAGUUUAAAACAAUAAAAAAUCGUCUACGACUACUCAACUCAUGUAUUAUAACUAAAAAAACGAAGGAUACCCACAAAAAUUAAAGAUAAAUUACCAAAAAAAAAGCCAGAGAAUGGAAAUUGGCGUACCAGGGGCAGGCGAGAGGAAACGAGAAGAGGAAGAAAGAAGGGUUUUGGAGAGAGUGGGAAUUAGUGGAGGCAAAAAUGGAGAGUUUUGAGAGUGAGAUGAUUGGUGGGGUGGUGAUGGCGGUGGUGGGGUUAAUGUUCUGGAGGGUAUGCUGAAGAGAGGUCGCAAGAGAACCUCCAUAGCCUUUAAAGAGAGUUGAGUUGCUGCUUUCUUUUGCCGUGGAUAGAGAGAGAUUAAGGGAUUAGAGUUCUGUAUUGAAUUUACUUUUUAUUAAAUAAAAAAUUAAUGUUAAAAUUUAUUUUAUUUAAUUUUUUAUUUAUCUAUCAUUGACUUAAUAUUUUGGAUCUUCAUCCAAACCUAAGGUAGAAAAUUUUUAUUCUAAAUAAUAUAUUGUCAAUAUAAAUUUAUCACGUAGAUAACAAAUGAUAAGAUUUAAUAUUAACUAUGUGAUUACUUGGUUGAAAUACAAAUUUUAUAUGACGUGCAAACGUAUCAUUAUAUUCUUGAUAUUUGACAUAAUGAAUAAAGCAACAAAUGUGUCAUAUUUUUAUUUUGGUGUUGUGGUUCUCUAAAAAUUGUUGAAAGCAGCGGCUGUGAAGAGUCAACGGUUGACCUUGAAGCCAAGCUGGCAUGCCUCCUGAGCUACUCCCGUGUGCAACCAGCUGGUGCGGCAGGUGAGUUGGAUUUGUUGAGCUGGCAAAACUGUUAUGUUGAAGAAUAGCAGCGCAUGUGCAUUGAAUAGUUGCAUCUUCUAGAAGCUUAAUGUGAUUGGUUCACAAUUGCUAUAUUCACGGAUCAAUUUUGAUUACUUCCGUGUAAUACCCCUUAGGCUAGCAGUCAUUAUUUUUUGUCUCUGUAUGUAAGCUAGCAAAGCUCUGUAUUUCAUUUUCAUUCAAGUCAUCAUAAUCAAUAAAAACCUGAUUCUCAUACUCUGUUUGCAUUUGAAAGCAAUUCUUAAGAAUUUAAGUAAAAAUUAGCUUAAUUCUUUUCAUUGUACUCAUUGCUUCUCUUCCGCUUUUCGUCAACGACAAUGGGUAACCUAAUCUCAACCUUCUUACCAGCAGAAUUAUUUGAUCGAACUUCAAACUGCGUUGGUGAACAAGCAAAUUAUGUAUGGGGUCUCGAAAAAAAUCUUCGGGUCUUGGAGACUGAAUUGCACAAAUUGACUCGAGCAAGGGACGAUCUGAAGACCAAGGUUGAGGUCGAAGAACAACGACCUGGGAAAUGGAAUUAGGAGCUUAUCGGAAAUUCCCACGUGUCCGCGGCUCGUAACUUUACUUCUGGGUGGAAAUCGGAUUGAGGAGAUCACUGAUGGCUUCUUUCAAUCGAUGUCUUCUCUUAGAGUAUUAAGUCUAAGAGGAAAUUUUCCCCUAAGAACACUACCUUCAGGGAUUUCAGGUUUGGUUUCAUUACAUCAUCUUGAUCUAUCAUCGACUAACAUAACUGGGUUGCCGCAAGAGCUGAAGGCGUUGGAGAAGUUGAGAUAUUUGAACUUGGACUAUACACGGUUUUUGUCUAUAAUUCCACAUCAAUUGAUAUCUGGCUUUUCAAAGUUGGAGGUACUCAGGUUGCUUUCACGCGGUCGCUGGAGCGUAAUAGAAGGUAACGUUCUAUGUGAUGAUUCUGAACCUUUGAUGAAGGAAUUGCUGGGUUUGAAGCAUUUAAAUGUUUUAAGCUGGACCUUCCGAAGUUCACUUGCUGUCCAAAAGUUUUUGAAAUAUCCAAAGCUGGUGAGCAUCACUCAAUCUGUAAUGGUUUGCCAAUGUGAAAGUCAACCGUUCAAUGUCUUACAUCUAGCAUACAUGGAGAAUCUUCAGGAGUUACGCAUUUCAAACAGUAAUUUGGAAGAGAUGAAGACUGACAGCACAGAAGAGGUAAAGAAACUUUUUCAAAGUGGUUUCCGCAGUCUCGACAGAGUUGUCAUAUGGAGUUGCCAAAAAAUGAAAGACUUAACGUGGCUAGUUUUUGUUCAAAUUCUCAAGCAGCUGCGUAUAGUCUUUUGUACAGAAAUGGAAGAAAUAAUUAGUGUUGAUAAAUUGAGAGAUAUUUCGAAGAUAAUCGGGUCAGAGCAUAACUUUUUUGCACAACUCGAAUCUCUAACCAUAAAGUGGGGAAGAAAUUUAAAGAGCGUUUACCCGAAUCCCCUGCCCUUUCCAAAGCUGAAGAAAAUUGAAGUACGUGAAUGCCCACAGCUGAAGAAGCUCCCACUCAAUUCCAGCAGCGCGAAGGAACGUCGAGUUGUCAUCGAGGGGUCGAAAAAAUGGUGGGAAGAGCUACAAUGGGAGGACCAAGCCACCCAAAAUGCUUUCUCUUCCGGUGUCGUACUUGGGGAUGAUUUUCAUUAAUAUGUUUGAAUAUGUAUUUCUUUUUUUUUCUUUUUUUAAUUUUCAUUAGAUUUAAUUACAUCUUGUUGUUGUUGUCUGGUGUGUCAAUCGUUAUCUAUUUUCAGUUAAUAAAAUUUCAGCAGUGGAUUCUUGGUUUUAGAAUCCUCCCACUGGAAAGAAUUUCUCCUUUGGCUUGAAUGCGACCUUUUUAGUCGUCGACAAAAUUGUAUUUGUCGCUUAAGUCUUGUUUGUUUUAAAAUGCUGGCAAAUUUAUAGAGUGGGAACUCAGAUGCUG
rnacentral:lncRNA from 1 species